rnacentral:tRNA from 1 species
AACAUUUAAUGGGAAUUGAACCCAUAACUUCUUCCUUACAAGGGAAAUGCUCUACCUUUUGAGCUAUAAAUGC